rnacentral:rRNA from 2 species
UGGUGAACCUGCGGAGGGAUCAUUA